AUUGGAUGUAGAUCCAAUGUUUAGACUUGUUCGGCAUAAUAGACAGGCUGUCACAUAUCAUCUGUACAGUGUGGCUAAAAGUCAAAUGGGCUAGCAGUGCUCAAGGGAACCCCGUCAGCAGUCAGGAAGCAGACGAGCAUCUCUAUGGAUUACCUUGAAAGAAAAGUAAUUUCCUGAAGUGGCAGUUAAAAGUUCACUUCAAACCCUCCUACUUCAAAUGGAUUGGACGCCUACUCACGUCAACGGUAGCCAAUGAUUCAAGUGUAUAGGCAUGCAAUGACCCAGUGAUGCUGUGUGACAGGCCAGCUAGGGCAAUGGCUGUUUGUGUCAAUCCAGAUCAAUCACUCCCUCUUCUGGACGGACGACGUCAUCAACGCACACAAAGGUCACAGGGGC